rnacentral:lncRNA from 1 species
UUGACAACGCCAACAACACUGCUCCAUGGAAAACCAUACUCAAGUUAGCAUAGGUCAGUUUUUUCUCCCCCCACGCGCGCUACAUCCAUGUAAAAUGCAUGUGUUGUUUCUUUUUGCUCUUUUGUGAAUUUUGGAGUGUCGGGGGAGGAGUUGCCUGUAUAACAACUUGGACCAGGUAAUUCUAUUGCAUAAACAGGCAAUUUAAGCUUUAUUUUGAGGCAAGUUAUUCAGAAGAACCCAUAAAAGACAAAUGAAAGACAAAUAGUAUGAUCAUUACAUAACCAGGGAAUUGUUGCAUUUUAUAGAAUUGCGGAAUCUUAUGUAUGUAAGUUUUCGAAUAUUUAUGGGGGGGCAAGGGUGUUUGCGGGGCAAUUCAAAUCACACAACAGGCAACUCAAAACUUAUAACCAGGCAACUCAAAACUUAUAACCAGGCAAGUCAGCCACAAGAAACCGUAAACCACAAAUAAUAGUUUAGGAUGUUCAAAGGUACAGACCCACAAAUAGUUUAACUCGUCAAUGCCAUUCGACACAUCUUUUUCAGCCAUCUGGUCACUGUGUGACCAUUACACCAAUCUGGUCGGGAAGCUUGCACCAUUGUGGUUAAAAGAACCACAAUAGCUGCACCUGUUCUUUCUUUUCGGAUGCAGCUCAAGUGCUGAUUGAAUUCUUCUUGACUUUGCCCUCCCUUUUGUUGUUGAUUUUGGAGGGUCUCUAGGAAUUGCAGGGCCAAGUGUGGUAGCAGGUCUUCCAAACUAUGGUUCAACCAUUGCAACAGCUGCAUGUAGAGAUGCCAUACUGAGCGGCUGGUGCGCAUAUCCACCAGGAGCUUGCGCAGUAGGAGAUGAAAUUGCAUUGGCAUUUUCUUCCUGUGUUGUUGAAGACUCUGGAUGCUGCCCAAUCCAGCCAUCCAGCGUUGCUGUUGAUGCAGGCAAUGGUGCCAGUCCAGGACCAGCCACAUAGGUUGUGUUUGCUGCAUUAGGCCCCCGCGGUGGUUGUAUAGCCACCAUAGUCUGUGGUGCAGGCCAAAUUACUGGUCUAGGACCCAUAGGAGGUCGCGCAGGCCCACUUGCUAGUGCCGUAUCCAUCAAAAGUUGUGGCGCAGCUCCUCUUAGCGCUUGCACAGGCCUUGUCAUUGUUGAGCCCCUUGAAAGUUGCGGCGCUGCUCCACUGUUAAGUGGCACAUAUCCUGACAGUUGCUGUACAGGCCAGCAACCUUGUGUGGGAGGGCUCAUGGGUAGUGGUACAACCCUUUUUUGCAUCGCUGCACCCCCGAAUGCUGUCUGUUGGUGUCUAUCCUCACUCAUAGAGUUGCCAGUUAGGUUUGGUGCGUUUUUUCUCUGCGUUGCAGAAGUAGGUCGCUGCUGCCUAGGUUCAGAAGAGGUUUGUGCAUGUUCAUCAGGACGCACCGCAGGGCCACUAGUUGCCUGAGUGUUUCUUGGUGGUGGCGUAGAAGCAGGUCUCUGCUGCCCAGGUCCAGAAGGGGCUUGUGAAGGCCCUCCAAGACGCACCGUAGGGCCACCAGUUGCCUGAGAGUUACUCGGUUGUGGUGCAGAACCAUCAGCUGAUGGUGGAGGACCACCAGAGGGCCCACUUGUUGGUGCUGCCGGUUUCUUCUUCUUUGACAUGUUGAGAUUUUUGAUUUCAUGACGCGCACCACGCAUAUGUUUCUUUACAAUAUCCAUCGCAGCAUCUGACGCACUAGCAACCCGGGCAAGACUACCAAAAUCCAUCAUCAAAUUUGCAUGCCCGAGUUCCUUUCCCGAUUGUGGUGGCAUCUCAUCAGGUUGCUCUUCGACAGCAGGGGGUGCAUUGGGAAUUGCCAUAGGUGUCCACCUUUUAAGUAUGUACUGCGCUGGGAUUUCAUCAACACCAAGGUGGUUGAAAACUUUCAAGAUAUGGCAGCAAAGCAUGCCGUCCCUCUCAACCUUGCAGCAGUCACAUCUGUAGUCUCCAGCACUAGCUUCCACCAUGACAAAAUAGCCCAUAGAACCAUAUUUGGCAACCCACUCUUGAUUGGGGUAAACCUCAUACAAGUUUUCACCAUGUGGUCGCACAUUGUACCUUGUAGUCAACUGAAACUCAUCACGAAACUUCUCGUACAAGUCCCUAGUAUACGAACCGUACACCUGCUUCUCUAUUGGGUAAGAUGACCACAUUUCAGUCUGUAAAUGUCCUGUCCUGUAGUCUUUUGAACCCUCCUGGACUAGUAUGUGUGUUUGGAUUUUCUGAUAUUGCUUCACAAAGUUCAAAAUGGACUUGUGUGGGUUAACAUAUUGCUUAAGGACAGCGUUGAACCCCUCGCUGCGUUGAGUUCACUGCAAGAAAGGGAAGAAUUGGUGCUUGAAGUAGCAGGGCACCCAUGUCUCUCUGUACUUGUAUAGAUUCUCGAAGUGGGAGUCAGUCAUAGCCUCAUACUUCAUCAUCAGCUCACACCACCUUGCCUCAAAUUCUUCCAGCGUCAAGCUGAAGUCAACACAGCUGUUGAAAUCUUUGGACAAGCCAGGGUUUCGCCCCAGCAAUGCUCCAAGCUUUUCUUGUGCUUUUUUCAUAAUAUGCCAGCGGCAACAGCGGUGCACACUUGUAGGAAAGAUCUUUUUAAUUGACUGUGCCAUUGCGAUGUCUUGGUCGGUUAUGAUGUUGGUGGGUGCUACAUUAUGCAUUGCCUCAAGGAAGGUCUGGAAUAGCCAAUCAAAGCUCGAUGCCAACUCUUGCCUAACAAAGCCACAACCCAACAUGAACGACUGCCCAUGCCUGUUAAUCCCAAUGAAUGGUGCAAAGGGCAUGUUGUACAUGUUAGUCAUAUACGUUGUGUCAAAGGAGAUACAAUCAUGAUAAGAUUCCACGUACGCCUUCCUUGCUGCACCAUCGACCCAGAAAAUAUUCUCAACCCUGUCUUCCUCAUCAUAUUUUAUCUUGUAAAAAAAAUCUGGAUCCUCUCUCUGCUGAUCUUUAAAGUAAGCAACUGUCUCUAUCAUAUCCCCUUCUUUUGUAUCAUCCUUGUUCAAGAGCGUCUUGAGGUUUGUAAUGUGUUUAGUGCUAUAAGGUACAAUGAGUUCUGUCCCAUAGAAAUCUGACAUGAUGUGCAUCAUACGACCUGUUGACAUGAAGUCACAAUGGUGGUCAAUCCUUCUUCUACACAAAAACAGUGCCAAAUAUAGUUUCUUUUCUGUUUUCAGCAAGGCAAUUCAAAUGCAAAGUUUGGGCAAUUCAUGAAGCUAUACAAGCAACUACAACCAUAUGCCCCAGGCAACACAUGAGCAAAAUACACAAAACAAACCAGGGGGUAACUAUGCAUUUAGCGAGCAAUACAAAUUUCAAUCAUAGGCAAGUUGACCCUAUCCAGAAACAAGUACUAUUGUACAUUUUAGCUACAAAGAGACUAACCAUAGGCAAGUUCACAUUCAACACCAAAUUUGUUUUAUAAAAAAACUAGGCAAGCAAGAAACUUUGCAUUGAGCAACAAACAGGUAAACAUUAGCUACAAAAAAACUAGGCAAGCAAGAAACUAUCCAGAAACAAAUCAGGCAAUUUAUUUCUUUUUUCUACUGUUGUAAGCAAUUUAGUGGCACUAUCAAGCAACUAAGGCAUUUGUUUGAAGCAAAUCAGUGACAUGGUUCAAGCAAAAACAGACACUUGUUGAUAGGCUAAGAAACACACAACCAGUAGGCAUGUGCAGGUUCUUAAAGUUAGAAGAUGGGGGGGGGAGGUGGGUGUGGUUCAAUACCUGUAGUUAAAUUGCAGUUAUGAAGAUGAGUAAGGAAGGCCCUUUCUUCCGGCGGGAUCCCUUGGUGUGAUUGCAAAUAUUUAGUCAAACAUGGCUUGUCAACCAACGGGUGGUUGUGCUCGCUAACAAAGUAGAUCACUUCCCAUCUGCCAUCUAUUACCUUCACAAUCAUCUUAGCUUUGCAACCAGUUUGCACAAUUUUAUCUCUUUUUCGUUUCUUGCUCCUCUUUUUGCCUUUACUAUCAUCAUCAAGAAAGACAAUAGCCUCAUCUUCAUUAUCAUUUUUUUCUUGCUCAACAAUGUCAUCUAGCACGGGAAUCUUUUCUGCCCCUCCGUCAUCAACAUCAGGCUUCCGAAACUUGUUGCAAACAAACUGUUGUUUUAUCAACUCCCCUGUUUUGAGAUCCUUCCUUGAACUAUUCAUUUUGAUUGAAAACCCCAUUUGCAAGGAAUAUGCAUUGUAAUGCACCUUGGCAUCUUCCAAAGUGUCGAACCUCAUGCCCACGUAAGGCUCCUUGGGCUGUGACCAAGCUUCAUCAUCAUUUUCAGCACCCAAACCAUUACCAACAGUGCCACCGGUAUCACCUGCAGCACCUGUGCCAUCUAGGGUAUGAGCAUCCCCAGUUGCUAUAGCUGCAGGUACUUGUGUACUGCCCGGAGCACGACCCCCAUGACUUGACUUCCCAUCUGCCUCCAUUGCUUCUGUAGCAGCACCAUCGACUCUUUGGAUGAUAGGGGGAUUAGGUGAUUCCGCCACAAAUUCUGCAUUUCCAGAACCAUGUUGUGUACAGUACAAUGGAUCAUCAUUAUUUUCAGCUGGUACUUCAUUCAGAUCAAUCAUUGUCAACCUGUUUUAUUCAUUGAGAAUAUGGGAAAAAGUAAAGCAAGUCAGCAGAGGGAUGGAAGCAAGUAGCACAGUAAAUACAGGCAAGCCAAUAGCUCACCCACCAACCAAAGCAAUUUUUACGUUGUUGAGGCAAGCUAGUACCACACUAAAAUCAGGCAAGCAAACAACACAGCAACGCAAGCACACCAGAUUCACAAGAUAGCAGUUGAACAUAACCAGGCAAUUCAAAGUGCACUAUCAGGCAACCCAAACCAUAUAAUCAGGCAAGUCAAACUAUAUAUGUCAGGCAAUAUAUUAUUUGCAGGAUAUGCAUAGAGCUUGCCUGAAUGAACCAUGUUUGUACAUAUAAACAUAACAUAGGCUUUUUGUUUUUUGUGUUUCAUAAUAUAUUUUCUUUUUUUGUUUUUCUUUAAAUGCAGGCAACAUUUGAUUUUUGGGGAAGCAAGCAUCCCGCCAUAGAAGUGCUACUUUGAAGUGUCUUCAGGAUGGAAUUCACUCCCAAUUCAGAGAGAUCAGAGCAUGUUUAGUGUUAGGAAAAACUUAAGCUAGAAUUAUGGGCAUGAUUGCUCUUUUAUAUUCAGACUAUUUCUGCUUUCAGUACUUACGUUUGUGUGUUAGAAAGAACUUAAGUUGACAUUUUUAGGUUUCAUCUUUUACAGCAGC